rnacentral:ncRNA from 2 species
GUAGCCUUGCACGUUCGAGGUUCUUCGCCACGCGAAGCUAAGAAGGGAACGCGGUAUGCCGCGGCUGCCCCCGCAACUGUAAACGGUCGAUGACCUUGCAAUGCCACUGCUGAACAAGCGGGAAGGCGCAAGGUCGGUGUCAGCCCCGGCUGAUACCCCGCCGUAAGCCAGGAGACCUGCCUCGUCACAGAUUCUUAC